rnacentral:pre_miRNA from 1 species
AAAAAAACAAACCCUGGGUUUCCGUGUCCAACUUUAACUGUCCGUCUUAUAUGAAAUUUUUUUAUAAUUCGUAUUUUCAUUGUUGUUAGAUGAUAAAACAUGAUUAAUAUUUUAUGCGUGACUUGUCUUUUUAAUUUUUUUCAUAAUUUUUUCAAAUAAGACGAACGGUCAAAUGUUAGGCACGAAAACCAGGGUUUGUCUUUUU